rnacentral:lncRNA from 1 species
AUUACAAUAAAUACAUAUAUUGAGAUGCUUGUUACAGUACAAAUACUGUAACAAGUAUCUCAAUAUAUGCCCAGAAGCAUUACUCCUCCAAAAUUAAGAAGCAAUAAAUUUAUCAUACCUGUCACUAAAUUUUUGCUGCUUUUGUCUUGCACAGUUGGCAAUAUGCAAACAGAGUGGUAAAAAACCUAGUGCAGUCUCUGUGUUGCUAAAAACUUGAAAAUUGGCAAGAUAGAAGUUAGGACUACAGAAAUGAAAUGAAUCAGCUAUGUGGUAGAUUGCUUAGAAAUUGUUUAAACAUGUCUAUUGCCAGAAUGUUCCUCAGACACUACAAAGAAACAGAUUCUAUUGCACCUGGAUACAGCAAUAGUAAACUGUCAAUGACUACUAUCAGGGAAGAUUGAAUUUUGCAUUGCCUUAUUGUGAAAUAUUGAUGUGGUACAUUUGUGGAAGCUGCAGAACUGUGAACAAAUGCAUAGACUAACCUGUAUUUUGAUGAACUGCUAGUAACAGAUUAUAUGUAAACAAUGUUGAUGCCAGUUCAGCAGAAAAAUGGUUUAAUUGGCCAGGUGACUACCUGUCCUAGACAGAAGAUCAAUGUUGGAGAAUAAUUUGGCUCUGUACAGGAAUGAGAUGUUGUCUUUCCAGAUCCUAUAUGAAAUGAAAUAUUUGUUCAAAACUUUGUGAAGCAAGAAGUCAAGUUCCCAGAUACUAUAUAGUUAUGAAGUGUUUUGAUAUUAUGGCAUUGGUGAUUUGAUUCCAUAUUAUAAGAUUAUCAAACCUAAUGCUAACAGGCAAUUUUGCAAUAUCAUUUCCUGCCUUCCAUGGCCUGGAAAUGUUCUUGCAAAUCUUUAUCUGCAGGGAGAUGCAAUUUUCUAACAAGAUCUCAUCAAGCCACAUAUUAUAUGAUCCACCAUUGUUUGAUUUCCCCAAAAAUUGAGUCCAAAUCUUACAAGGGAUCCCAAAUUUUUCCACUCUCAAUCCAAUUGAGGAUCUGUGAUGUGUCUUCAAGAAAGGAAUAUGAAAAUGCAAGCCCCAAGCAAAAGAUCAGCUGAAGAUGGUUCUUCAAGAAAUAUGGGCCAAUAUUCCAUAAAAUCUUUGUCAUGCCUACAUCAAAUCAAUACCUAAAUGAAUUGCUGAUAUGUAUGCUGUAAAAAAGAGAACCCAUGAAAUGGUUAUUGUUUGCAAUAGCUAGAUUCAC